rnacentral:rRNA from 1 species
AUUGAACGCUAGCGGGAUGCCUUACACAUGCAAGUCGAACGAGUGGCGGACGGGUGAGUAAUGUAUCGGAACGUGCCCGGUAGAGGGGGAUAACUACUGGAAACGGUAGCUAAUACCGCAUACUAUUGGAGCGGCCGAUAUCGGAUUAGCUAGUUGGUGGGGUAAAGGCUCACCAAGGCAACGAUCCGUAGCUGGUUUGAGAGGAUGACCAGCCACACUGGGACUGAGACACGGCCCAGACUCCUACGGGAGGCAGCAGUGGGGAAUUUUGGACAAUGGGCGAAACCCUGAUCCAGCCAUCCCGCGUGUAUGAGAAGGCCUUCGGGUUGUAAAGUACUUUUGGCAGAGAAGCGGUACCUGCAGAAGAAGCACCGGCUAACUACGUGCCAGCAGCCGCGGUAAUAC